ensembl:lncRNA
UCUUCAUCCCCAGCAUGGCGGUGGGCGCCCUUGCCGCGCCCUCGACCACGCCUCACCGCGGCCCCGAGCGCCACGCCCUCACCGCGCCCUCGCCGCCGCUCCCCCUAACCCCUGUUCCCUGGACAGGUGCCCUCCGGACUCUUCAUCCCCAGCAUGGCGGUGGGCGCCCUCGACCGCGCCCUCGCCGCGCCCUCGACCACGCCCUCACCGCACCCGCGCCGCGCCCGCGCUCCCCUAACCCCUGUUCCCUGGACAGGUGCCCUCUGGCCUCUUCAUCCCCAGCAUGGCGGUGGCCGCCAUCGCCGCGCCCUCGACCGCGCCCUCGCCGCGCCCUCGACCACGCCCUCACCGCACCCGCGCCGCGCCCGCGCUCCCCUUACCCCUGUUCCCUGGACAGGUGCCCUCCGGCCUCUUCAUCCCCAGCAUGGCGGUGGGCGCCAUCGCCGGGCGGCUGCUGGGCGUGGCCGUGGAGCAGCUGGCGUACUACCACCACACGACUGGGUGAUCUUCCGGGGCUGGUGCUCGCCGGGCCGGACUGCA